ACCACUCAUUUCUCAGCACAAAUCAAGGUUCAGGUGUUUGUUUGUGGGUGUGGUCACAUGAUCCAGGUGAGUGGGCGUGGCUCAGGUGUAUAAAGAGCAGCAGCUCAGUCUGGACUCAUCACUGAGACACCUGAGGACAUCAUCACUGAGACACACCUGCCUCCAUCUCCUCCACACAGGAACACAUCAUCAUGGUCACCAUGAUGACCGCCGCCUUCCUCUGCCUCCUCCUGGGUGCCGCCUUUGCAGCUCCUGCUGAAGAUAAAGACCUGAAGGUCACCGAAACACCAGCCGAGGCCCCGACCAAUCAGUCAUGUGAUGCAGCAGGUC